GCGUGGGUGAAGAAGGUCUUCGGAUUGUAAAGCCCUUUCGGCGGGGACGAUGAUGACGGUACCCGCAGAAGAAGCCCCGGCCAACUUCGUGCCAGCAGCCGCGGUAAUACGAAGGGGGCUAGCGUUGCUCGGAAUUACUGGGCGUAAAGGGCGCGUAGGCGGCGCUUCUAGUCGGGCGUGAAAUCCCCGGGCUCAACCCGGGGGCUGCGUUCGAUACGGUGGCGCUCGAGGACGGGAGAGGCUCGCGGAAUUCCCAGUGUAGAGGUGAAAUUCGU
rnacentral:rRNA from 1 species